UACAGAGGGUGCAAGCGUUGUUCGGAAUUAUUGGGCGUAAAGCGCGUGUAGGCGGCUUUGCAAGUCGGGUGUGAAAGCCCUCAGCUCAACUGAGGAAGUGCGCCCGAAACUGCAGAGCUUGAGUGCCGGAGAGGGUGGCGGAAUUCCGGGUGUAGUGGUGGAAUGCGUAGAGAUCCGGAGGAACACCAGCGGCGAAGGCGGCGUCCUGGACUGGUACUGACGCUCAGGAGCGAAAGCGUGGGGAGCGAUCCGG
rnacentral:rRNA from 1 species